GUAAACUUUGACAUUUCAAAUGAAGCCUUGUGGGUAGUUAAACAGGAUGUAAGGAUAGCUUAUCUAAAACCAAAUCAGAGUGACAGCUUAUAUAGAGUAUGUAAUGUAAGGAAUAGCAGAGGAUUUGAAUACCUGUAGAUUUAAGUGUUGGUUUACAUUUUUUAAUGUCAAAAGUGUAUUUACCUUCCCUUCCUUCCAUCCCUCUUGCCCCUUCUGGCUGGUCCUUGCUUCUGGGGCAGACCCCUAGUUGGUCUGCUCUUGUGAAGAUUCCAUAUCCCAAUCCAUCCUAGAGGACCUGCUGCACUCAAAGCAAUUGAGGACCCUCUGCACUCAGAGUAGUUAGACCCACCGUACUCAGAGCAGUUGAGAAGUUGAGGACCCUCUGCACUAAGAGCAGUUGUGGAUCCACUGCUCUCAGAGAAGUUGAGGAUUGGCUGUAAUCAGGUCAGUUGGACAACAUCUUGACUGCUCCAUGGAAGACCCAACAGUCUGAAGGCCUCCCAGGAGAUCUACUGUAACCAGGGCAACAGAUCAACAGCUUCUCUACUCCUGUGAGAGCCCCCAGUUGGAAGGUCCCAUAGGUGGUCUGAUACAGCCAGGGCUGUAAGCCUACCAGGAGACCUGAAGCAACUCAGAGACAAAAGAGGCAGACUUGAUACAGUCACCCAGAUCAACAAACACCAGGGAUAUCCAGAUGGCAAAAGGCAAGUGUAGGACCAUAAACAACAGAAGCCACAAUACAUGAGC
rnacentral:lncRNA from 1 species